rnacentral:rRNA from 1 species
CCCAAUUCUAACAGCAUAAGAGAGGUAGUGACAAGAAAUAACAGUACAAGGCAGUUAAAAUGUUUUGUAAUUGGAAUGAUAGAAAUUUAAACACUUUUUAAAGUAUCAAUUGGAGGGCAAGUCUGGUGCCAGCAGCCGCGGUAAUUCCAGCUCCAAUAGCGUAUAUUAAAAUUGUUGCAGUUAAAAAGCUCGUAGUUGAAUUUUUGCUAGAAAUAACCGGUCUGCUUUUAUUA